UCCGCUUUACAGCGGCAGUUUCGUCCGAGUUCCCGGCUUUACCCGCUGGUAACAGACAAUGAGGGUUGCGCUCGUUGCGGGACUUAACCCAACAUUUCACAACACGAGCUGACGACAGCCAUGCACCACCUGUGCACCACCCUCGAAGGCGACUCGCUUUCACGAGCGUGCAGGUGCAUGUCAAGCCCUGGUAAGGUUCUUCGCGUUGCAUCGAAUUAAGCCACAUGCUCCACCGCUUGUGCGGGCCCCCGCCAAUUCCUUUGAGUUUCAACCUUGCGGCCGUAGUCCCCAGGCGGUUCACUUAAUGCGUUAGCUGCGGCACCGAAGGAAACCCCCGACACCUAGUGAACAUCGUUUAUAGCUAAGACUAC
rnacentral:misc_RNA from 1 species